GGUUUCCUGAAGCAGCUGGAAGUCCUGGAUGGUUCCCACCUGAAAGUCCGUUUGCAAAGGCAAUGCGCACUCAGGCACCAGAGGGCAGAGGGGCUCAAGUUCCAGGGUUUUAAGGUGCUUGGAACUCCCAGGAGCCUGGCAAAACCUUCAUCCAGAACCUCUUCCUCAAGCAAGACAAAAAGCUGCUAAGCACUGCUCCCUCCGUCUCUGUGAAGAGACCAGCUUCUAACAGACAGUGCUGGGCUGACCCCCCAUCAUGCCAGGCUGGCUCACCCUCUCCACACUCUGCCGCUUCCUUCUUUGGGCCUUCACCAUCUUCCACAAAGCCCAAGGAGACCCAGGUAAGACCCCAGCCCAGGCCAGAAUCUGGGGAAAUCUUGGGGAGUCUGCAAGGGUGGGGAAAGGGGAAAGGGCAGUUGUUGCAGGAGUGAAAGUCAUUGCUGAGAAGGCAAUGGAGGAGAGGGUUGGGGGGCUCUGGAGAAAGCAUUUGGGGAGCAGGGUCUGUUGGGCACUUGGGGCAGUGAGGAUCGGGGGUUCCUGCCACUGUGGCCCCCUCUGCCCAGCAUCCCACCCGGGCCCCCACUACCUCCUGCCCCCCAUCCACGAGGUCAUUCACUCUCAUCGUGGGGCCACGGCCACGCUGCCCUGCGUCCUGGGCACCACGCCUCCCA
rnacentral:sRNA from 1 species